rnacentral:rRNA from 1 species
GACGAACGCUGGCGGCGUGCUUAACACAUGCAAGUCGAACGGAAAGGCCCUGCUUUUGUGGGGUGCUCGAGUGGCGAAAGGGUGAGUAACACGUGAGUAACCUGCCCUUGACUUUGGGAUAACUUCAGGAAACUGGGGCUAAUACCGGAUAGGAGCUCCUGCUGCAUGGUGGGGGUUUGAAAGUUUCGGCGGUUGGGGAUGGACUCGCGGCUUAUCAGCUUGUUGGUGGGGUAGUGGCUUACCAAGGCUUUGACGGGUAGCCGGCCUGAGAGGGUGACCGGCCACAUUGGGACUGAGAUACGGCCCAGACUGCUACGGGAGGCAGCAGUGGGGAAUAGUGCACGAUGGGCGGAAUCCUGAUGCAGCAACGCCGCGUGCUGGAUGACGGCCUUCGGGUUGUAAACCGCUUUCGCCUGUGACGAAGCGUGAGUGACGGUAAUGGGUAAAGAAGCACCGGCUAACUACGUG